CCUUCCGGGCACGCCAUCAUGGUGGCGGCUCUGCUUUGGGGAAAACCCCCAGGAGCCAGAUAUCGCGAGAGCACAGCCUCACACUGGCACUAAAAGCUUACCUAAAGUGGGUUCAGGUGUUUGCCGCUUAAAAGCCAAUAUAGAGGCAAGCAUGUGGGAUUCUAGCUCCCUGCCCAAAGAUCGAACCUGCACCUCCUGCGUUGGAAGAUGAAGUCUUAAGCCACUGGACCACCGUUCACACUCUCUACUCAAUCAGCGCACCCUGUGCUGCAGUGACAUCAGCCCCUCCUCAUCCUGUCCCAGAAGACUCCUAAUCAUGUUAGGAGAUGAUUCUACUCCUUUAAAUAAAGACUAGUAACAGAUGAAUUCUUGCAAAAGAGAAGCCAAUUGCAUCUAGCUCUGGGAAGGAAGCUCCAGGGAUCUGAAGGAUACAAACAUUAAAGAGAAACCCGAAGCAUGAUGUAAGAAAGCUUGCUUGUGAAGUAAAAUCACGGUCCUUCAGGUCAUUCCAUUCCUCCUGUCUGGUUUAGGGGCAUAAUGUCUAUUUCUCCAAGACUAAACCAUCACCAAGAAUCCCUCAUUGUUUCUUGUCUAUGUAUGCUGGAAAGAUGACUUUUCAGAUGUCAUCUGUUUGCUGUAAUUAUCCAAGUUUCAAGUCAGAAGCACAAUAAAAAUCAUUUUGUGUUUGGCCUGAAAGGAAGACACUGAUAAGCAAAUAAGUGUGCAUUUCACUCACAUCAGCAGUCUGCUGAAUAAGCUGAUCUUACUCCAUACAUUUUACUUUUUUUUUGACCAUUACAAAAGUUUAUUUAACAAAAAAGUUCAGUUAAGAAAAUGUACAUGACCG